rnacentral:rRNA from 1 species
UGCGAAGGGGGCUAGCGUUGCUCGGAAUCACUGGGCGUAAAGCGCACGUAGGCGGCUUUCUAAGUCAGGGGUGAAAUCCUGGAGCUCAACUCCAGAACUGCCUUUGAUACUGGAGAGCUUGAGUCCGGAAGAGGUGAGUGGAACUCCGAGUGUAGAGGUGAAAUUCGUAGAUAUUCGGAAGAACACCAGUGGCGAAGGCGGCUCACUGGUCCGGUACUGACGCUGAGGUGCGAAAGCGUGGGGAGCAAACAGG